rnacentral:rRNA from 1 species
AACGCGAAGAACCUUACCUGGCCUUGACAUGUCUGGAAUCCUGCAGAGAUGCGGGAGUGCCUUCGGGAAUCAGAACACAGGUGCUGCAUGGCUGUCGUCAGCUCGUGUCGUGAGAUGUUGGGUUAAGUCCCGCAACGAGCGCAACCCUUGUCCUUAGUUGCCAGCACGUAAUGGUGGGAACUCUAGGGAGACUGCCGGUGACAAACCAGAGGAAGGCGGGGACGACGUCAAGUCAUCAUGGCCCUUACGGCCAGGGCUACACACGUGCUACAAUGGUCGGUACAAAGGGUUGCUAGCCCGCGAGGUUACGCCAAUCUCAAAAAGCCGAUCGUAGUCCGGAUUGGAGUCUGCAACUCGACUCCACGAAGUCGGAAUCGCUAGUAAUCGCGGAUCAGAAUGCCGCGGUGAAUACGUUCCCGGGCCUUGUACACACCG